UGGUCACGAAGAGGACAGACCUACUGGGUCAGCCCCAUGUCAGCCUGAUAUUGCUCCACUUCAUUUUGUGAGCCUUCAAAUCCCUUGUCUUCAGGCUUGUCACUUGAGACAGCAGGCUUGAUAAGGUACACUGAAGUCAGUGGAGUAAACCAAUUCAUAUCAACUAAUGAUGAGGCCUGCUGUUGUUCUGGGAUGAUAUGCACUGUGAUAAUUUCCAUCCAUUUGGAUGCAAUGUUUAAUUAAUUCUGCUUUACAGGCUCAUACCAAGGCCAGUUGAUC
rnacentral:lncRNA from 1 species